rnacentral:rRNA from 1 species
AGAGUUUGAUCAUGGCUCAGAACGAACGCUGGCGGCGCACCUAAUACAUGCAAGUCGAGCGAGAAGACGUAGCAAUACGUUUGUAAAGCGGCGAACGGGUGAGGAAUACAUGGGUAACCUACCCUCGAGUGGGGAAUAACUAGCCGAAAGGUUAGCUAAUACCGCAUACGGCUCCUGGUCUGCGGAUCGGGAGAGAAAGCGAUACCGUGGGUAUCGCGCUCUUGGAUGGGCUCAUGUCCUAUCAGCUUGUUGGUGAGGUAACGGCUCACCAAGGCUUCGACGGGUAGCUGGUCUGAGAGGACGAUCAGCCACACUGGCACUGCGACACGGGCCAGACUCCUACGGGAGGCAGCAGUAAGGAAUAUUGCGCAAUGGGCGACAGCCUGACGCAGCGACGCCGCGUGGGGGAUGAAGGUCUUCGGAUUGUAAACCCCUUUCGGCAGGGAAGAUGGAACGGGUAACCGUUCGGACGGUACCUGCAGAAGCAGCCACGGCUAACUUCGUGCCAGCAGCCGCGGUAAUACGAAGGUGGCAAGCGUUGUUCGGAUUUACUGGGCGUACAGGGAGCGUAGGCGGUUGGGUAAUCCCUUCGUGAAAUCUCCGGGCCUAACCCGGAAAGUGCGGAGGGGACUGCUCGGCUAGAGGAUGGGAGAGGAGCGCGGAAUUCCCGGUGUAGCGGUGAAAUGCGUAGAGAUCGGGAGGAAGGCCGGUGGCGAAGGCGGCGCUCUGGAACAUUUCUGACGCUGAGGCUCGAAAGCGUGGGGAGCAAACAGGAUUAGAUACCCUGGUAGUCCACGCCUUAAACGAUGGAUACUAAGUGUCGGCGGGUUACCGCCGGUGCCGCAGCUAACGCAUUAAGUAUCCCGCCUGGGAAGUACGGCCGCAAGGUUGAAACUCAAAUGAAUUGACGG